CACAUGCAGUCGACGGUAGCACAGAGAGCUUGCUCUUGGGUGACGAGUGGCGGACGGGUGAGUAAUGUCUGGGAAACUGCCCGAUGGAGGGGGAUAACUACUGGAAACGGUAGCUAAUACCGCAUAACGUCGCAAGACCAAAGUGGGGGACCUUCGGGCCUCACACCAUCGGAUGUGCCCAGAUGGGAUUAGCUAGUUGGUGGGGUAAUGGCUCACCAAGGCGACGAUCCCUAGCUGGUCUGAGAGGAUGACCAGCCACACUGGAACUGAGACACGGUCCAGACUCCUACGGGAGGCAGCAGUGGGGAAUAUUGCACAAUGGGCGCAAGCCUGAUGCAGCCAUGCCGCGUGUAUGAAGAAGGCCUUCGGGUUGUAAAGUACUUUCAGCGAGGAGGAAGGCAUUAAGGUUAAUAACCUUAGUGAUUGACGUUACUCGCAGAAGAAGCACCGGCUAACUCCGUGCCAGCAGCCGCGGUAAUACGGAGGGUGCAAGCGUUAAUCGGAAUUACUGGGCGUAAAGCGCACGCAGGCGGUUUGUUAAGUCAGAUGUGAAAUCCCCGGGCUCAACCUGGGAACUGCAUUUGAAACUGGCAAGCUUGAGCCUCGUAGAGGGGGGUAGAAUUCCAGGUGUAGCGGUGAAAUGCGUAGAGAUCUGGAGGAAUACCGGUGGCGAAGCGGCCCCCUGGACGAAGACUGACGCUCAUGUGCGAAGCGUGGGGAGCAACAGGAUUAGAUACCCUGGUAGUCCACGCCGUAACGAUGUCUAUUUUGGAGGUUGUUCCCUUGAG
rnacentral:rRNA from 1 species